UACGGGGGGGGCAAGCGUUGUUCGGAAUUAUUGGGCGUAAAGGGUUCGUAGGUGGCCGGCUAAGUCAGACGUGAAAUCCCUCAGCUUAACUGGGGAACUGCGUCUGAAACUGAUCGGCUUGAGUGCAGGAGAGGAACGCGGAAUUCCAGGUGUAGCAGUGAAAUGCGUAGAUAUCUGGAGGAACACCGGUGGCGAAGGCGGCGUUCUGGACUGCAACUGACACUGAGGAACGAAAGCCAGGGGAGCAAACGGG
rnacentral:rRNA from 1 species